rnacentral:rRNA from 1 species
GAUGAACGCUGGCGGCGUGCCUAAUACAUGCAAGUCGAGCGAACAGAUGAGGAGCUUGCUCCUCUGACGUUAGCGGCGGACGGGUGAGUAACACGUGGAUAACCUACCUAUAAGACUGGGAUAACUUCGGGAAACCGGAGCUAAUACCGGAUAAUAUAUUGAACCGCAUGGUUCAAUAGUGAAAGACGGUCUUGCUGUCACUUAUAGAUGGAUCCGCGCCGCAUUAGCUAGUUGGUAAGGUAACGGCUUACCAAGGCAACGAUGCGUAGCCGACCUGAGAGGGUGAUCGGCCACACUGGAACUGAGACACGGUCCAGACUCCUACGGGAGGCAGCAGUAGGGAAUCUUCCGCAAUGGGCGAAAGCCUGACGGAGCAACGCCGCGUGAGUGAUGAAGGUCUUCGGAUCGUAAAACUCUGUUAUUAGGGAAGAACAUAUGUGUAAGUAACUAUGCACAUCUUGACGGUACCUAAUCAGAAAGCCACGGCUAACUACGUG